GUUAAAAUUUUAUUAAAAAUUUAUUUAUUAAAUUAUUUUUAAUUAAAAUAUUAUUAAGUUAAUUAAUAUUUAAGUAUAUUUAAGAAAAAAUUAUAAAUAAUUAUAGUUUAUUAGUAAUGAAAAUGAAUUACUGUUAAUUAGAUUAAAGAAUUUUUUAUUAAAAGUACCUUUUGUAUCAGGGUUUAUUUAAUUAAUAAUUUUUAUUAAAUUAUUCUCGAAUUUAAAAGAUUUAAUUUAUUAUUUUUAAUAUUGUUAUAUAAAUAUAUAUAAUACUAAAUUAGUAAUGAAAUGUUAAACGUUUUUAAAUAUAUCUAGUUUUUUUAGAAAAAAAUUUAAUUUUAUUAUAAAUUAUUAUUUAAAUUUAAAUAUAAAUUUAAAUAUUUAUUUAUAAAAAAAUUUUUAGGGAUAAGCUUAAAAAUUAAAUUAUAUUAAUAUAAAUAAAAUUAAAUAAAUUUAUGAUUAGAAAUUUCAAUAAUAUAAAUAAUUUUAUAAUUUAUAAAUAAAAAUUUUAAUUUUUAUUAAAUUAAUUUAUAGAUAAAAAUAUUUAAUUUAAUUAAUAGAUUAAAUUAAUAAUGAUAAAAUUAGUAUAUUUAUAAUUAAUUAAAUUUUAAAAAAUUUAAAAUUUAAAAUAAGGAAUUCGGCAAUAUUAAUUACUCGCCUGUUUAUCAAAAACAUGGUUUUUUGUUUAUAAUUAAAGAUUUAAUCUGCCCACUGAUUAAUUAAAGGGCCGCAGUAUAUUGACUGUGCAAAGGUAGCAUAAUCAUUUGUCUCUUAAUUGUUGACUUGUAUGAAUGAUUGGACGAGGUAAUUACUGUCUCAUUUUUAUUUAAAGUAAAAUUUUAUUUUUAAGUUAAAAAGCUUAAAUAAAAUUUAAGGACGAGAAGACCCUAUAGAGUUUAAUUAAUUUAGUAAAAAUUAUUAUUUUUGAAUUUAGAUUAUUUUUAUAAUUAUUAAUUUAAUUGGGGUGAUUAAAAAAUUUAAUAAACUUUUUAAAAUAUUAUUCAAAAAAUUUUGUUUAAUUUUGAUCCAAAAUUUUUGAUUAUUUGAUUAAAUUACCUUAGGGAUAACAGCGUUAUUAUUUUGGAAAGUUCAUAUUUAUAAAAUAGUUUGCGACCUCGAUGUUGAAUUAAGAAAAAUUUUUGGUGCAGUAAUUAAAAUUUUUAGUCUGUUCGACUAUUAAAUUCUUACAUGAUUUGAGUUCAAACCGGUGUGAGCCAGGUUGGUUUCUAUCCUAAAUUAUAUAAAAUAUUUUAGUACGAAAGGACCAUAUAUUUAAUUAAUAAUUUAAUUAUGAAUUACUUUGGCAGAAUAGUGUAAUGAAUUUAGAAUUCAUAAAUGUAUUUAUUAUACAGG
rnacentral:rRNA from 1 species